CGUUGUGUUGUGUUUAGUUGUGUGGCUAUCCUUUAGGAGACACGUAAUUAUAUAUGUUUUUUCCUUCUAACUUUAUAUCUCUCUCUCUUCCUUUUUUCUUCUAACUUAUAUAUGUUUUUAUUGCUCUUUUUUUUCUUCUACUAAUAUAAAUUUGGCAAAUAUCUUGCCGACCUUUUGCAAAAAAAAAAGUUAUUCAUGUUUGUUCCCUCGACUUGGGCACUGAACCAGAAACCAUCGUCCUCUCAGGACUGAUUUUCCUUGCUGUUUGCACGGCC
rnacentral:lncRNA from 1 species